rnacentral:rRNA from 1 species
UACGAAGGGGGCUAGCGUUGCUCGGAAUCACUGGGCGUAAAGGGUGCGUAGGCGGGUCUUUAAGUCAGGGGUGAAAUCCUGGAGCUCAACUCCAGAACUGCCUUUGAUACUGAGGAUCUUGAGUUCGGGAGAGGUGAGUGGAACUGCGAGUGUAGAGGUGAAAUUCGUAGAUAUUCGCAAGAACACCAGUGGCGAAGGCGGCUCACUGGCCCGAUACUGACGCUGAGGCACGAAACGCGUGGGGAGCAAACAGG